rnacentral:rRNA from 1 species
AUUGAACGCUGGCGGCAUGCCUUACACAUGCAAGUCGAACGGCAGCAUGAUCUAGCUUGCUAGAUUGAUGGCGAGUGGCGAACGGGUGAGUAAUACAUCGGAACGUGCCCUGUAGUGGGGGAUAACUAGUCGAAAGAUUAGCUAAUACCGAAUACGACCUGAGGGUGAAAGUGGGGGACCGCAAGGCCUCAUGCUAUAGGAGCGGCCGAUGUCUGAUUAGCUAGUUGGUGAGGUAAAGGCUCACCAAGGCGACGAUCAGUAGCUGGUCUGAGAGGACGAUCAGCCACACUGGGACUGAGACACGGCCCAGACUCCUACGGGAGGCAGCAGUGGGGAAUUUUGGACAAUGGGCGAAAGCCUGAUCCAGCAAUGCCGCGUGUGUGAAGAAGGCCUUCGGGUUGUAAAGCACUUUUGUCCGGAAAGAAAUGGCUCUGGUUAAUACCUGGGGUCGAUGACGGUACCGGAAGAAUAAGGACCGGCUAACUACGUG